rnacentral:rRNA from 1 species
UAGGACUCUCGGCAAUGGAUAUCUUGGCUCUCGCAUCGAUGAAGAGCGCAGCGAAAUGCGAUACGUGGUGCGAAUUGCAGAAUCCCGUGAACCAUCGAGUUUUUGAACGCAAGUUGCGCCUGAGGCCAGCCGGCCAAGGGCACGUCCGCCUGGGCGUCAAGCAUUAAAUCGCUCC